CGCACCGGGGCUUGAACUCCGCAAAUCUGACAUGCGAGGCGAGCGUGUUACCAAUACUCCACCAGCGC
rnacentral:tRNA from 11 species